UCAACGGCAAAAGGGCAUACUGCUGUUAUUGUCAGUGAGGGGUCAGUAGUUUAAAUGAUGAAACUCUGGGGAUCAGCAUAAAGUAAACCAACAUACUGCAUGUAAGUAUCAAGUAAAUGAGCAGAGACAGCCCCUGGUUUACAAACACCUGACUUAAGCAUCAUCCAUCCUACAGGACAGGGAAGGAGGAAGAAGCUUCAAGAGGCUGGAACAGUUGAGGGAGCGCUGACACGGUAAAGGCCACUUUGCUCAUCAUCACCAGGCGCGCUGCUGAAAAUUUCCACUCUGUUUACUCCGAAGACCUUACUCCUACUAUGUGGAGACAUAUUUGAAUAAAAAAUUGGCCUCUUUUCAAAGUCAAAAUUCUG
rnacentral:lncRNA from 1 species